GACGAACGCUGGCGGCGUGCUUAACACAUGCAAGUCGUACGGUAAGGCCCUUUCGGGGGUACACGAGUGGCGAACGGGUGAGUAACACGUGAGUAACCGGCCCACAACUUUGGGAUAACGCUAGGAAACUGGUGCUAAUACUGGAUAUGUGCUCCUGCUGCAUGGUGGGGGUUGGAAAGCUCCGGCGGUUGUGGAUGGACUCGCGGCCUAUCAGCUUGUUGGUGGGGUAGUGGCCUACCAAGGCGGCGACGGGUAGCCGGCCUGAGAGGGUGACCGGCCACAUUGGGACUGAGAUACGGCCCAGACGCCUACGGGAGGCAGCAGUGGGGAAUAUUGCACAAUGGGCGCAAGCCUGAUGCAGCAACGCCGCGGGCGGGAUGACGGCCUUCGGGUUGUAAACCGCUUUCAGCAGGGACGAAGCUUUUUGUGACGGUACCUGCAGAAGAAGCACCGGCUAACUACGUG
rnacentral:rRNA from 1 species